AUUGAACACUGGCGGCAUGCCUUACACAUGCAAGUCGAACGGCAGCAUGAUCUAGCUUGCUAGAUUGAUGGCGAGUGGCGAACGGGUGAGUAAUACAUCGGAACGUGCCCUGUAGUGGGGGAUAACUAGUCGAAAGAUUAGCUAAUACCGCAUACGACCUGAGGGUGAAGGUGGGGGACCGCAAGGCCUCAUGCUAUAGGAGCGGCCGAUGUCUGAUUAGCUAGUUGGUGAGGUAAAGGCUCACCAAGGCGACGAUCAGUAGCUGGUCUGAGAGGACGAUCAGCCACACUGGGACUGAGACACGGCCCAGACUCCUACGGGAGGCAGCAGUGGGGAAUUUUGGACAAUGGGGGCAACCCUGAUCCAGCAAUGCCGCGUGUGUGAAGAAGGCCUUCGGGUUGUAAAGCACUUUUGUCCGGAAAGAAAUCGCACUUACUAAUAUUAGGUGUGGAUGACGGUACCGGAAGAAUAAGGACCGGCUAACUACGUGCCAGCCGCCGCAGUAAAAC
rnacentral:rRNA from 1 species